UACGUAGGGGGGCAAGCGUUGUCCGGAUUUAUUGGGCGUAAAGAGCGUGUAGGCGGCUUGGUAGGUCCGCUGUGAAAACUCGAGGCUCAACCUCGAGAUGUCGGCGGAAACCACUUGGCUAGAGUCCGGAAGGAGGAGAGUGGAAUUCCCGGUGUAGCGGUGAAAUGCGCAGAUAUCAGGAAGAACACCCGUGGCUAAGGCGGCUCUCUAGUACGGUACUGACGCUGAGACGCGAAAGCGUGGGGAGCGAACAGG
rnacentral:rRNA from 1 species